rnacentral:tRNA from 1 species
GACCGUGUGGCUCAGUUGGUAGAGCAUGGUGUUUGCAACGCCAGUGUUGUGGGUUCGAUUCCGACGGCGGACC